rnacentral:lncRNA from 1 species
UAUGCUUCACCGUCCGGAAUAUUUAGAAAAAGAAAAUUAUCAAACCCAACAUGAGUUUCUCCGACUUCCUCCGUUUCCUCCCUUUUUCAACUCCGUUGUGGGUUCCUCUCCACCAUUACAAAAGCCAUUGACACAUGCAACCAAGCUUUUCCUGGUCUGUUUACUUUCUGAGUUUAGCUCUCUUCUUCUUCUUCUUCUUAAGGAACCCCCCCCC